ensembl:lncRNA
CGCUUUUGUAGGAAUUGUUCAGAUGAAUACAAAAACGAAAUGGAGUCAGUAGGGGUUGCUUGGUGACAAAAUUUUAUAUGCCGUUUAUUUGUGCUACUCUCCCAUUUGUGCCUCAUACAUUUCAUAGCCAUAGACGCCCUCUUGCUAGGUGUUCAUUUAUAAUCUAAAAAUACAUAAGAAAUCCUCUUUGUAGGUGAUUCUAUUCACCAUUACAGCUGUAAUAACCCCUUUUAUCUACUUGAGCCGGGUGGACAGUGGUCUUGAACUGACUUGCUAGGGCUUGCAUUAAAGUAACAUUAAUGCUCGCCUUUUCAAUGCUUUCUAGGUGGUAUGAGGUUGAGAUGAGAGCCACGCUGCAGGUAUUUACAGAGCACACUUAGAGUAGCCUGAUAAUGCACUCUAUAGCCUGAAGAUGACCAACCGAAAGGGCUCUCAAAAUGGUUGAACCCCCUGGCCUCAGAACCUCUGUGCUCUAUUAUCAGAGCUGUAGGUCCCUGCAUGCACCGUGCCCAGGGUGAGUCUGAUGUAAGUAGGCAGAUACACCACCCCCCAAAUCUUCACAAGUCACUGAACACUGCGAUCUAAUCACUUCUGACACUAGAAUAAGAGGCUGGGCGGCUGCCUGUAGGAGGACUCUCUAAUGGCAACACACACACAGGGGUUAAAUCAGAAACCAAGUUCAAAUCUCUGGAACAGCUUCAACAGAACCAGUGGAGGUACAUUCGGUGUCACAGGCACAUGUUUUGGAGAAACACCAGCAAUUGUACAUCCGAAGAAAUGCCCUCAUUCCAUCACAUCUGUGAGAGUCAAGGCAGAAGAGACUAAAAUAGAGUUGGAGUCUCCAGAGGUACCAAUGCUUAGAGGAAUCCAGCCAGUAUAAACACGACCCACGAUCUCUCCAGUUCUCACAGCCACAAUAUAUGAAUCGUGAAAAGUCAUACAGAAACAUCUCAUAAGCAAUGCUUUGUUCUUAGACCCCAAAUGCAAGGAGUUUUAUGAGAUAAACAGUGUAGUUUGGGAUUAAAGCAAUAACUGUGUACAUCGAGGAUUUUGAAAUUGUCCAUCCACCAUUUAUUUCAAUUGGCUUGUGUGAUAUUUUCUCAGGAUGGGAUUUGCUAUGACAUAAGAACAUUUAACAGGCCUAAACAGAACAUUCAGCAGGUGUUGGACCUGGAUCAAAUGGACAAUUCCUUGAUCUCUAGAUAGAAAUCCCAUGCUUUUUACUGGUUUAUUCGAAUCCACGGUGGCUUUACAUCUCGGAUCACAUUGGAUUUGAUCUCUAUAGGAACUCCGAAGGGAUUU